UGCAGUCAAGUCAAAUUCAGUCCCUGCCCUGUCAUGGUGGGAACUGGCCUAGAUGGCUGCUGCUCAUGGGCUCUGGGUCCCCUUUCCUGGAACCUGGGGAUAAGUUUAGCUGCAGACACUG